GCAAAAAAUGUUUAAUAUCAAUCAGCGCAGGGGUUGGUAUAAUUGGAAAAAGAUCGAGAAAAUCAUGACUGUCAAAUUUCAAUUAAUGCGAACUGUUUCAUCGCGAAAACCGUUUUUUUCGUUUUAUAAUUUUUUAAUCUCUUUACUAUCAUGACUAUAUAGACUCGAGAAACGAAUCUAUUGACACUGAAUUAUUUAUAAAUGCUAUUGAAAAUGAAAAUGCAAUAUGGAACAUUCAAACUGCUGAAUAUAAAACUUGAGAAACGCCAAGUCAAAGGCCUGGGAAAGAUAACAUUGGUAUCUGGUAUAUACAUAUUGUUUUAAACGAUUGGCGUGGGAACUGCGUGCAUUGGUGAUCCAACGUGUCCUUAAUAGGGGUGGCGAAACCUGACGAAUGACGGCCAAUUUCCAAUACUAAAUUGAAAACAAUAAUUAAUCAACGUCUGCACCAGGAACUAUGGGAAGUAUACGUAAUGGCUUUAUCUAUACUAUAUACGUAGGAACGAUUUGAAUUUUGGAUCAGUCCGAGAAAAUUAAUAUUUUAUGGCUCACUUCUGGAUUUACUAUUUGAAGGAACACCACUGAGUAUGCUCCGCCAGAUCGUCAUCGUCUCAUAAUAAAUUUUGUUCGACUGUUUUUGGUAAACAAACAUUAUAUUCUAUAAUGAUUCAGCGGUACGCUGCUGUACAACGGCAUAUUAUGUUACACGAGCAGUACAAUAUAUUGUGUAUUAUAUAUAUUCAAUUUGUUUGUAAUAAAUGAACAAUAAUAUUGUAGAACUAGCAAAAUGUGAUUAGGUUAUACGAUCGUCAUCAAAAAUGACGUUUCGGCACGCGGAUGCGUUUUUUCCUUUUAGAAUCAUGUCGACGUGUUUAUAUUAUAUACGUAUUUUAUUAUGUUUUACAUGCACAUACAUUGAUACGUAAAAUAAUAAUUAUGAUACACUUUGUUGUCUUAGACUUUAAGUUUUGUUUUCUAUGAUUUAUACCUAUAAAAGUGAUAGUGUGUUAGGUUUAUUAUUAAGAAAUGUUAUUUUAAUAUAAAUGAUUGUGUUACAGUGUUAUACAGUGAUAAGUUAUAGA